rnacentral:rRNA from 1 species
GUUCGUUAAACCCUCCCACCUAGAGGAAGGAGAAGUCGUAACAAGGUUUCCGUAGGUGAACCUGCGGAAGGAUCAUUGAAUCUAUCGUGCCCACACCGUGAACCAUAUAUGCCCUUUCUGAAAGGCAACUCUUGAAAAGGAGGUACCGAUUGAAAGCGCAGGUCAGGGGCCGCAGCUCUUUGGCUGUCGGUUGACUUGGCUGGGCGGGUCCAAUACCAGUUGGGUUCCUCUUGCCUCGGCUUGAGGUUCCUAGCUGUGAGGGGUGGCUUGAAAAACUCCUAAGCAAUUUUCUGAAGACAGACUGCUAGCUGGCUUGCUGGCUGCAGACUGAUUUAAUAAUGACAACUCUCAACAACGGAUAUCUUGGCUCCCGUNACGAUGAAGAACGCAGCGAAAUGCGAUACGUAGUGUGAAUUGCAGAAUUCCGUGAACCAUCGAAUCUUUGAACGCAAAUUGCGCUUGAGGCUUCGGCCAAGAGCAUGUCUGGCUCAGCGUCGGCUUACUACCCUCAACCAAUUCCCUUGUGGAAAUUGAUUGGAGCUGGCUUUCCGGUUUUCCGACUAGGUUGCCGGUCAGCUGAAAAAUAUUCGCGCUGUGGGAGCUGCUUUCCCUUCAAAAAGGAAGGCCGAGUUCCGAUUUGGUAGGUGACCUUUGCCGGUUGCAUGCCUUCGUUGCUCGCAAUGGCUUCCAUGAAAGCGCGUGCAGGACGCCAUUUGGCUUUCGACCUGAGCUCAGGCAAGNNCNCCG